rnacentral:rRNA from 1 species
UACGUAGGUGGCGAGCGUUAUCCGGAAUGAUUGGGCGUAAAGGGUGCGCAGGCGGCGCAUUAAGUUUGAAGUAAAAGGUAGCGGCUCAACCGCUGCAAGCUUCGAAAACUGGUGUGCUGGAGUGCAGGAGAGGGCAGUGGAAUUCCAUGUGUAGCGGUAAAAUGCGUAGAUAUAAUGGGAGAACGACCGGUGGCGAAGGCGGCGCCUGGCCU